UACGGAGGGUGCAAACGUUGCUCGGAAUCAUUGGGCGUAAAGCGCACAUAGGCGGCUCCUCAAGUCGGAUGUGAAAGCCCUGGGCUCAACUCAGGAAGUGCAUCCGAAACUGUGGAGCUUGAAUGCCGGAGGGGCCCAGAGAAUUCCCGGUGUAGAGGUGAAAUUCGUAGAUAUCGGGAGGAAUACCAGUGGCGAAGGCGCUGGGCUGGACGGUCAUUGACGCUGAGACGCGAAAGCGUGGGGAGCAAACAGG
rnacentral:rRNA from 1 species